rnacentral:rRNA from 1 species
UACGUAGGGUGCGAGCGUUAAUCGGAAUUACUGGGCGUAAAGCGUGCGCAGGCGGUUCGUUGUGUCUGCUGUGAAAUCCCCGGGCUCAACCUGGGAAUGGCAGUGGAAACUGGCGAGCUUGAGUGUGGAAGAGGGGGGUGGAAUUCCGCGUGUAGCAGUGAAAUGCGUAGAGAUGCGGAGGAACACCGAUGGCGAAGGCAACCCCCUGGGCUGACACUGACGCUCAGGCACGAAAGCGUGGGGAGCAAACAGG